UUGACAUGGAGCCGCUCGAAUCUCCAGGGAAUCACCCGUUUUAAACAAACACCGAACAGAGCAGAGUCUGCUGACAAAAAGAGAACGUGACAGAGCUUGUAAUAAAACCAGAGUCAACACUGGCUUGGCUUUUCGGAGAUGGCGAGAACUGAGGGAUUUGAAAUGCUGUAAAAGGGACACGGACAUGGCGGUUUCAACAGCUGAACAAUGGCUGCGGCCUGGGAUGCGCAUACCUGCUGUCUCGCUGAUGGGAGUAUACACGACCUCCGAAUGUGACACCAGAGCCUGCUGGAAAAGGGAAAUUUAAAUCUGCAAUUACACCAGUGAAAUCCAGUGAAAUAUGCCAUGAGAGUCAAAUGAAUUGUGCAGACCUGUUAAAAGGACCACAUCACACUUGAGAAUUCGUACCACGGGGUUUCUCACUUGUUGACAGUAGUUACCUGUGCCCUGGCAGACCCUUGGCCCUGGGAUAAAAUGGCUUCUAUCAUGGGCCAGACACAUAAAUAUUUCCCUUUCUAUUUUCCAAAAUAGCUUUUAAUUUAACAAGUUUUAUGGCUCUAAUAUUAAGUGCAUGUGUUUUACAAGACACUGUGUCCUCUGAGUCACCCCUUGGUUUUCGGCUGGUUUUUUACCUUAUGGAGAAGAGGAAAAAAGGGGGGGGAUGUUUGACUAGGCCUCUACCAGACACUCCCCCAUGCUCCCCUUGGCCUGGGCCUCUCCUUCUGAGGGACGGCCAUGUAGAGAGUCUGGGAUUAAGGGACGGGCAACUCCCUCUGUCCGCACUAGUGUGUUCUGGCCCGCUGACCUCUCCCUUGGGGUUCCGAAAGUCCAAAAAACCUCUCAAUCAUUAAAGUUCCCGCGCGAUGGGGAUUCCAUGUGUACAGAGCUCUAGGAAAAGAAUGGGGUCUAGAAGUUACAAUAAAUAUAGAUAUCUCUUGAUUUUAACUAUGGUUAGCAUUACGUUUAUAACAUAGCACCUGGUUAUGGAUUUAUCACUGGGGCACUCUGUGUGCGUGCGUGCGUGCGUGUGUGUGUGUGUGUGUGUGUGUGUGUGUGGAUAGAGGACCUGAGUACUCGCUGUCUGUCCCCUCUAGGGACAAAUUGAUGUCAGGUUGUUCUCUCUGUCAGGAUUAAGUGUCUGUUUGCUUUUUGCUCACAUGCAGUUUGAUGAAUAAAAAAGCUCUUCUGAGCAAAUCAAAAACUUGAUCCCUGUUUAGAAAGCGGGAUGGAAACAACUACUUCACCCAGUAAUGAAAACCUGUCAUCAUUUACUCAUCCUCAUAUUGUUCCAAUACGUUCCAGUACGACCGAUUUUCUUCCAGGGAACACAAAAGCAGAAACUUUGAAGAAUUUUGCUGUCGCUCUUUUCCAAGUAAUUACAAUGAAUAGUCACUAGAGCUUUCAAACUUCAAAAAGGAAGAAAAAACACAGUAAAAGUGAUUUCAUCACUGAGCAGCACACUGUGGAAGGUUUUUAAGGAAUAAUUACAUACAAUUUGGUCCAAUGACCAAAUAUCAAAUGACUUCAGAAGACUUGGAAUAUAAUGUACUUAUCAUAUAGACCAUGUUUACACUUAUUACAGCGUUUUUGUGUCCUUUUUAAAGCUUGAAAGACAUGAAGGUGAGUAAAUGAUACAUUUCAAAAAUGAUAUCCUCUAAUGUCCUCAAACUGCAUGUUUUGUCACUGUGAACUGGUAAAUAUGAAAUAUUAAAAUAUUUUAUUUAAAAUGUAUUUCU